UGGGGAAUAUUGCACAAAUGGGCGCAAGCCUGAUGCAGCUAUGCCGCGUGUGUGAAAGAAGGCCUUCGGGUUGUAAAGCACUUUCAGCGAGGAGGAAGGUGGUGAACUUAAUACGUUCAUCAAUUGACGUUACUCGCAGAAGAAGCACCGGCUAACUCCGUGCCAGCAGCCGCGGUAAUACGGAGGGUGCAAGCGUUAAUCGGAAUUACUGGGCGUAAAGCGCACGCAGGCGGUUUGUUAAGUCAGAUGUGAAAUCCCCGGGCUCAACCUGGGAACUGCAUUUGAAAACUGGCAAGCUAGAGUCUCGUAGAGGGGGGUAGAAAUUCCAGGUGUAGCGGUGAAAUGCGUAGAGAUCUGGAGGAAUACCGGUGGCGAAGGCGGCCCCCUGGACGAAGACUGACGCUCAGGUGCGAAAAGCGUGGGGAGCAAAACAGGAUUAGAUACCCUGGUAGUCCACGCUGUAAACGAUGUCGAUUUUGGAGGUUGUGCCCUUGAGGCGUGGCUUCCGGAGCUAACGCGUUAAA
rnacentral:rRNA from 1 species